GAAAGCAGCAGGCUGGCAGCAGAGGGGGUGAGCUCCUGCCUGCUCCUGCUGUCCUGCAUCCUUCUGCCCCACAGCUUUCCUCUCUCUUGCUACAGUGGGUGGGAGAAUGCCGGCAAGAUGUUGUAGGCCUCUUCUCCCAGGUAACAGAGGCUUAGUGGGAAGUGGGAACACUAGAAGCCUUCUCCCUUUCCUACUCUUUGGCUCUGCAUCUUGGUUCUGAGAGGUCCCUCCAAGGCAUCCAUCUGCUCCUGGCAAACACCAUUCCAACACCUGUGAUCCAGAUGUACACAGCUGCAUGGAAGGUGUUGUUUCUGAUCCAGCCUUAAUGCGAACCAUGCUUAAGAAUGGUUACAAAUGGCUCCAUAAAAAAGACAAAAUGCAUAGCACAGAAACUGCUGAGAAGAGCAUGAUUUUUGUUUUCUUUUGGGACCCACCAUGAGUUGGAUGGCAGCUCAGGGGCAUCGGGGGACUUUGAUCUGGAGAUGCAUUAGUGAGCUUGAACGCUAGAACUCGUCUCUCCUGAGGAUGUUCCUGACUGUUCCCGUGCAUCUGGAGGCGCUACUGCUGGUGGAGUUCUACUAGAUGGAGGUCUGCAAAUGAGCAGGCUGUUGACCAAUGGGUUUAUUCCUUAUUUUUACAUUUUUUUUUGUCCGAUGUAUGCACAAGAACUACCAGAUGGAUCUAUCACAUCUCCUGGAACUUCACAGUUUUGAUUUGGUAGCACUAACAUGACUGCCGACAAUCUUAUUUAAGGUCAUAGAAGUGAAGUCACUGCACAGCUACUGGGAGGAGCAGUUUAUUUAGAAGACAAGCAACCUUACGAGCUGCUUGUCAUAAACGAGAUAUAGUUGUUGCUGCAAAAUGGUGAAAAAGCUGCUUCCUCUUGGUCUCUCCUGUGAUGCUCCUCUGUCAGACAAGAUGGUAAUCUGCAUAAAUCAAAAUUUAUAUAGCCUUUCAAACUUCAAAGCAGGUGAUGUUUCAUCUUACUAUGCCAAGGAUGGAAUCGUUUGGAACCAGAACCUGUCUCCGCGCACAGAAGGACGCCAAUGAACUCUCUCCUUCGUAACAGGUGAUAAAUGAUUUUAGUAUUUAAGCAAGGUGUCUGCCUUCACCUGGAAAAUCAGAAUUGGCAAAGUUACUUAAAGAAAUUUGCUUAUAUAGAGAUGUCAGUGUGUGUUAUGAGCAGUCUGUGCUGAAUGAAGAUAUUCUUCAGUUCCUUACUGUAUAGAUAGAGCUGGUCUCUUGAGUUUGGCAGAUCAGGACAUUAAGACAAAUGGAUUUGAUUUACAACUACAGAGAAUCUAAAUCAUAAUUUUCAUAUUGUAAAACUCCAGAAGAGAUUAUUUCUGUUUUCUGUCAGUGUUAUUUUCUGCAGGAAAUUACAGAAUAAAUGCAAAUUAUAUGUUCUGU
rnacentral:lncRNA from 1 species